rnacentral:rRNA from 1 species
GACGAACGCUGGCGGCGUGCCUAAUACAUGCAAGUUGAGCGCUGAAGGUUGGUACUUGUACCGACUGGAUGAGCAGCGAACGGGUGAGUAACGCGUGGGGAAUCUGCCUUUGAGCGGGGGACCACAUUUGGAAACGAAUGCUAAUACCGCAUAAAAACUUUAAACACAAGUUUUAAGUUUGAAAGAUGCAAUUACAACACUAAAAGAUGAUCCCGCGUUGUCUUAGCUAGUUGGUGAGGUAAAGGCUCACCAAGGCGAUAUUACAUAGCCGACCUGGGAGGGUGAUGGGCCACAUUGGGACUGAGACACGGCCCAAACUCCUACGGGAGGCAGCAGUAGGGAAUCUUCGGCAAUGGACGAAAGUCUGACCGAGCAACGCCGCGUGAGUGAAGAAGGUUUUCGGAUCGUAAAACUCUGUUGGUAGAGAAGAACGUUGGUGAGAGUGGAAAGCUCAUCAAGUGACGGUAACUACCCAGAAAGGGACGGCUAACUACGUGCCAGCCGCCGCGGUAA